rnacentral:rRNA from 1 species
GACGAACGCUGGCGGCGUGCUUAACACAUGCAAGUCGAACGAAGUGGCGAACGGGUGAGUAACGCGUAAUCAACCUGCCCUUCAGAGGGGGACAACAGUUGGAAACGACUGCUAAUACCGCAUACUGAAGGAGGGGAUUGCGUCUGAUUAGCUAGUUGGAGGGGUAACGGCCCACCAAGGCGAUGAUCAGUAACCGGGCUGAGAAGAUGAACAGCAAAAAUGGGACUGGGAAACGGCCAAGACUCCAACGGGAGGCAGCAGUGGGGAAUCGUCCGCAAUGGAGGAAAGUCUGACGAAGCAACGCCGCGGGAGUGAUGACGGACUUCGGGUUGUAAAGCUAUGUUAAUCGGGACGCGGUACCGGAAUAGAAAGCCACGGCUAACUACGUGCCAGCAGCCGCGGUAAUAC